UGCAAUGAACACUGGUGUGUGUAUCCAGCAGUCCACACACCACACGCACAACAAAGUCAAGAGCAAACACAGGACGCUAUAACGUUGAGCCAGAUGUCUGGGUUGUGUCUGAGACGAGCCAGCUGCAAACAAAACCUGCACAAGUCUGUGCAGCAUCAUAAAGGAGAUGAGAACGGAGUCUUCUAUGCGAGCACAUGUUGAUCUGCAGCAGCCUCACAGCAGGUUCCUCCCCCGUGGCCACCUGAGAAGCACGCAAGUGAAAUCAGCUUUCCUCAAUGGAACGUGCGGACCUACACAGGAUGCUCGCGGCUCACUGCCCUGAUGGAUGCACACAGCAGAGGACGAGGAGGAAAAGGGGGCGGCGCCUUUAAGUAGCAUCAACAUCAGUCAUUGGGAGCUCCAAACGUGUCUGAGGUAGAUUGUGUGCAUGUAGACAAUUAGAUGCACUCUGGAAUAUUGUGUGCAUAUGCAGAUAAACAGUUUAAUAUAAGGAAAUUCAAAGAAAUACAAAACGUGCACAUUUCUAUUGGUAUCAGCAGUUCAUAAACUGGACAUUUUGAUACUGGACUUAAGAUCAACCUUCUACCCUUACAUCACUAUUAUUUAUAAAUAACAGUUACAUUAAAAAAGGAGUAGUACUUCUAACAAUUAGUCAAAGAGCUGUUCAGAUUCUGAGGGCAUCUUUGAUAAGAUGGUCAAAGUGACACUUGUGCAGCAGAAAUCUCUGGGUAAUGGUUUGCUUCUGCGCUCCUCAAGCAGGCUGCAGAUGACAGAACAGUGAAAGCUGGGGACAAUUAAGGCAGCGUGGGAGAGACCGCUGGACCUGUUGCCAUUCAUGACCGUAGGCUCAAAACAGUUUGAAAUUAAAAGUGCUUCGUUUUAUUCACUCAUCUCAAUAGGAUGACAUUAUUUGAUUAUGGUGUUGCAGCUGCGGUCUCUUCAGCUGGGAGAUGUAAACAGUUUCGGACGCUCUUGCGGGGGGAAAACAGACAUGCAGAGUCCAACCUCAGUUUGCGACUCGACCCAGCAGCAAGUUCUGCAGCUGCCUUAUUCUGCUCUCCCGGGGAAAGGCCAGGGCCUUUUCUCCUCUCUCUUCUAACCCCUCUUCCUCCUCCAGAAGCUGCUCCAUGUACCAGGAGGAGCCCAGCAGGACGUGGCCAGUGGCCUGCAUGGAGAAGAUCGUCCAUCGCAACGCCUCCCUUCAAGCAUGAGAGAAACACAGAUUGCAUUUAUCUCACAAGUGCACAAUACAAAUGUCUGAUUAAUAACAUUUUAGUAACUACAAUAGACUAGUAUGACUCGAACACAGGUGUCAAACUUAUAGAUAUGGCCCUCCACGUCACUUUAUAUGGGCCUGUGAAAGCCUGGGAAAAUGUGUCAGUAAUUUGCAUUGUCCUACUAAAUGCAUUUGUUCUUUCCAUUUCACAGAAAAAAAUACAUGUACUAUACUGCAUGCAGUAGCAUAACUUGCCGUAUUUUUCGGACUACAAGGCGCACUCAAAAGCCUUUAAUUUUUCUCAAAAAUCGACACUGCGCCUUAUACCCCGGUGCACCUAAUGGACAGAAUAAUUCUGGUUGUGGAUACUGACCUCAAAGCUAUUUUAUUUGGUACAGUGUGACCAGUAGAUAGUAGUCACACAUAAGAGAUACGUGUAGACUGCAAGAUGACGCCAAUAAACACCACAACAACUUUAAAUGUUCCAUUCAGAAUAUAGAACAUUAUACACGGCACUCAAAAAUCUGUCAAAAUCAUUUAGUAUGACUUUGGUAAGCUAUGAACCCGCACUGCUUGGAUUGUCAACAUACGAGUAUUAUUGUGUGUGUGUGUAAGGACCGCAAAAUGAAGUUGAAGUUCCAAUAAUUGUCACACACACUAGGUGUGGGAAAAUUUUUCUCUGCAUUUGACCCAUCAACCGUUGAACACCCCCUGGAAGGUGAGGGGAGCAGUGGGCAGCAGCGGUGGCCGCGCCCGGGAAUUAUUUUUGAUGAUUUAACCCCCGAUUCCAACCUUUGAUGCUGAGUGCCAAGCAGGGGGCACCCAUUAGCAGACAUUAUCUGUCGUUUUGUUUUGCAAUAUUAUCCAAAACAAACACUUCUUACCUACUGGUACCGGCUGAUGUGUAUUUGAGAUCUGCAUAAGUCCUAAAAAUGUUCGCAUUUCUGCCAUUGUAGUCCGUAGUCAACGUAGUCAACCAGCGUCUUUUUCUUCAACUUCUUGUCACGGGACAUUCACUCGCCGCUGUUGCCAUUUCUAAUAUGAAGCAGUGUAAAGUUCUAACUUGUAUGUCGCUAUCGAAGUGCUAGAAAUUACCAGCAUAGUGGGUUUAUAUAUUUCACCAACUGAACUUUAGUUUAGAUAGGUCGGACGGUUUUGCUAGUGAGCCACGGAGGAGAUGCUGCUCCGUUAUUGAAGUAAAGUCUGAAUGUCAUUAAAAAAGUUAGCUCCAUCUUUUGACACUUCUUCCACUCCCGUCCUUGCACGCUACACCACUACAACAAAGAUGACGGCGAGAAGACGAUGUCGAAAGGUGAGCUAAGUAGGUAAGACCGCCCACAAAACUGCACAUCCUGAAGAGAUUGUCAGAAAGCUACUUGAAAAUGAUCUGUAAAACAAUCUAUGAAGCACUUUGAUCAAAGAACCACCAAUACAUGUUAUGUGGACCA